CAGUAGCCGCGGUAAUACGUAGGUCCCGAGCGUUGUCCGGAUUUAUUGGGCGUAAAGCGGGCGCAGGCGGUUAGAUAAGUCUGAAGUUAAAGGCUGUGGCUUAACCAUAGUACGCUUUGGAAACUGUUUAACUUGAGUGCAAGAGGGGAGAGUGGAAUUCCAUGUGUAGCGGUGAAAUGCGUAGAUAUAUGGAGGAACACCGGUGGCGAAAGCGGCUCUCUGGCUUGUAACUGACGCUGAGGCUCGAAAGCGUGGGGAGCAAACAGGAUUAGAUACCCCCGUAGUCCCUGUCUCUUAUACA
rnacentral:rRNA from 1 species